rnacentral:lncRNA from 1 species
UUCUCCCCCUCCUUGCUGCCGUCGAGAUCACCAUCCUCCUACAAAUGGAAGAUCGAAAAUUCCAGCAAAGAAUGAAAGCCCUCUCCCUCCUACGUCGCAUUCCACCAGACCACUUGCGAGCAGCCAUGCUCAUCGCCAUUCAUCGCCCCGCCUUGCGCGCGCGCCACCGCACCUCACCGCACGAUCCCGACAUCUUAGUAGCCUGUUUGGCCGUCCCAGCAAGCUGUCUCAGCCCGUGCCGGAGCCAUUUGGCCCACCUCCAACCAUCAUGAGUCCCCACCUUGGCCCGGUUUGGUCCCCUCAACCUUUCUUAGCCCGUUAUCACCUUAAACCGAGCUUGUUUCCCUCUUUUCUAGCCCAAAACAGAAGCUGAAAGUGUGGGUAUUCCAGCAAGGGUUUGACUUGUUUUGAAGGUGUUCCCAGCCCCAAAAGCUAAGCCCGCCUUCGAGAGAAUUGAGCCUUGUUGCGUCCCCAUCGAUUUACAUCGAUCGGAUCGCUGAACAAGUGAGUGUAACUCACUAAUUCUCGCUUAGCAUGUUAAUCACACUUAGGGGUUGAUUAGUUUAGAGUAAGCUAGGAUUAGGUUGUUAGUUAGAAUUGAUUAGUGAAAUUUAAUUAAUUAUGAAUGCAUGUUAGGUGGAUAGUUAGUGCAAUUAGAGCCUAGAUGAGCUCUAGUAUUUAUCUAGAGUAACUCGGAAAUUUUCCCGGUCUGUCUCAACGUUCAAUUAGGCUUUUUCGAACCUAAGUUGCAUUUUCAGUAUUUAAUAAUUAAUUUCCAUAUUUAUUUAAUUAAUUAAUUAUUUUCUGGAAAUUAGAUUGGGAUAACUGGUGACUGAAAUUUUAUACUGAUUGUUGUCGCGACCAAUUUUUUCGGGUUCACCACCUAAAACUAGGUUUGGCUAAUGGAUUACUAAGUCUUUAAGGUUAGCUCGGACUCUCCCAAGCCCAUACCAAUUCGCGACUUAGAUUCAAAUUUCUUAACAUGCAAAUUGAUUUUAUUUAGGAGUCGCCACUAAUCAGUUUAUGGUAGGUCGAUUAGACACCUAAGUAAAAUAAUGGGAGAAUUACUUUACUCCUACGAACCAGAGACUAAGGGUACGGGGACUUGAUUACAUUAGAUUUCUCUAAUGUCCUUUCGGUACCAUUCUUUUUAUUUUCAAAAAUGUUUGGCAAUUGAAUUGAUUUUAAACUAACUUCUUAACGUGUGAGGUGAUCAUACAUGUGCGCAUACCACCAAUUUAACACUCAAGAAAACAAUUAAAUAUUGCAAAACAUACCUAGGAGCAACGAAAGCAUCUGCAUUGUUAAAUCAGAAUUCACAUCAGCAGCCCUAGAUAUAAUUUCUAAUUAACAAGCAAUUACUCAAUUUUUGUUUUCACUUUAUUUAAUGAAAAUCAUGCGAUGCAUGCUAAUAAUCUAAUAUGACGGGGCAGCAUGACCUAAACUAUAUGACAUGAAGAAAUGCAAUAAUUAAAUGCAAUCUAAAUGACCUGAUUCUAAUGACAUGCAAUGCGAUGCAAUGACAUACGAAAUUAUUUAACCUAAAAUGACAUGCGAGCUAUAUGUCAAGCGACAUUUAUUAAAUGACAUAAUCUAAUGACGGGCAAUUUCUAAUUAGAAAUGAACCUAACAAUAAUCACUAAAAUGACGUGCAUUUCAUGGACUGAAUUCUAUAUAACGUGCACAUGAUUUUUCUAUUCUAAAAUUGCAAUCUAUUUCUGGAAAUUGCAACUAAUUUAUCCUAAGACAAAUUUUAUGAAAUUCGAAAUUUAAAAAUGCAAAAGUGAUCUAGCUAGAUUAAGAUUCUAUCUAAUUUAAAC